rnacentral:rRNA from 1 species
GAUGAACGCUGGCGAGAUGCCUUACACAUGCAAGUCGUACGAGAGUUUUUAACUCAAGUGGCGGACGGGUGAGUAACACGUAAGAAUUUGCCUUUAGGAGGGGGACAACAACUGGAAACGGUUGCUAAUACCCCAUAUGCUUUCGAGUGAAAUGGAUUUUCCGCCUAGAGAGAAGCUUGCGGCUGAUUAGCUUGUUGGUGAGGUAAUGGCUCACCAAGGCGACGAUCAGUAUCUGGUUUGAGAGGACGAUCAGACACACUGGAACUGAGACACGGUCCAGACUCCUACGGGAGGCAGCAGUGGGAAUAUUGCACAAUGGGCGAAAGCCUGAUGCAGCGACGCCGCGUGAACGAUGAAGGCUUUCGAGUCGUAAAGUUCUGUUCUU